rnacentral:rRNA from 1 species
AGUGAACGCUGGCGGUAGGCCUAACACAUCCAAGUCGAACGGCAGCACAGAGGAGCUUGCUCCUUGGGUGGCGAGUGGCGGACGGGUGAGGAAUACAUCGGAAUCUACUCUGUCGUGGGGGAUAACGUAGGGAAACUUACGCUAAUACCGCAUACGACCUACGGGUGAAAGCAGGGGAUCUUCGGACCUUGCGCGAUUGAAUGAGCCGAUGUCGGAUUAGCUAGUUGGCGGGGUAAAGGCCCACCAAGGCGACGAUCCGUAGCUGGUCUGAGAGGAUGGUCAGCCACACUGGAACUGAGACACGGUCCAGACUCCUACGGGAGGCAGCAGUGGGGAAUAUUGGACAAUGGGCGCAAGCCUGAUCCAGCCAUACCGCGUGGGUGAAGAGGGCCUUCGGGUUGUAAAGCCCUUUUGUUGGGAAAGAAAUCCAUCUGGUUAAUACCCGGGUGGGAUGACGGUACCCAAAGAAUAAGCACCGGCUAACUUCGUGCCAGCAGCCGCCGUAA